rnacentral:rRNA from 1 species
UACGUAGGGGGCUAGCGUUGUCCGGAAUCAUUGGGCGUAAAGCGCGCGUAGGCGGCCCGGUAAGUCCGCUGUGAAAGUCAAAGGCUCAACCUUUGAAUGUCAGCGGAUACUGCCGGGCUAGAGUCCGGAAGAGGCGAGUGGAAUUCCGGGUGUAGCGGUGGAAUGCGUAGAGAUCCGGAAGAACACCGGUGGCGAAGGCGGUUGGCUGGGCCACAACUGACACUGAUGCGCGACAGCGUGGGGAGCAAACAGG